rnacentral:rRNA from 1 species
GAUGAACGCUGGCGGCGUGCCUAAUACAUGCCAGUCGAGCGAACGGACGAGAAGCUUGCUUCUCUGAUGUUAGCGGCGGACGGGUGAGUAACACGUGGAUAACCUACCUAUAAGACUGGGAUAACUUCGGGAAACCGUAGCUAAUACCGGAUAAUAUUUUGAACCGCAUGGUUCAAAAGUGAAAGACGGUCUUGCUGUCACUUAUAGAUGGAUCCGCGCUGCAUUAGCUAGUUGGUAAGGUAACGGCUUACCAAGGCAACAAUGCAUAGCCGACCUGAGAGGGUGAUCGGCCACACUGGAACUGAGACACGGUCCAGACUCCUACGGGAGGCAGCAGUAGGGAAUCUUCCGCAAUGGGCGAAAGCCUGACGGAGCAACGCCGCGUGAGUGAUGAAGGUCUUCGGAUCGUAAAACUCUGUUAUUAGGGAAGAACAUAUGUGUAAGUAACUGUGCACAUCUUGACGGUACCUAAUCAGAAAGCCACGGCUAACUACGUG